CCUACGGGGGGCUGCAGUGAGGAAUAUUGGUCAAUGGACGAGAGUCUGAACCAGCCAAGUAGCGUGAAGGAUGACUGCUCUAUGGGUUGUAAACUUCUUUUAUAUGGGAAUAAAAUGUUCCACGUGUGGGAUUUUGUAUGUACCAUAUGAAUAAGGAUCGGCUAACUCCGUGCCAGCAGCCGCGGUAAUACGGAGGAUCCGAGCGUUAUCCGGAUUUAUUGGGUUUAAAGGGAGCGUAGGUGGAUAGUUAAGUUAGUGGUGAAAGUUUGCGGCUCAACCGUGAAAUUGCAGUUGAAACUGGCAGUCUUGAGUACAGUAGAGGAAGGCGGAAUGCGUGGUGUAGCGGUGAAAUGCUUAGAUAUCACGAAGAACUCCGAUUGCGAAGGCAGUUCACUAGGCUACUACUGACGCUGAGGCUCGAAAGUGUGGGUAUCAAACAGGAUUAGAUACCCUUGUAGUC
rnacentral:rRNA from 1 species